rnacentral:snoRNA from 1 species
ACGACCUUACUUGAACAGGAUCUGUUCUAUAGGAUCGUACCUCUGUCCUUGACUUCUAAGGAGACAGGAAUCUAAACCUGGUGGAUGAAUCAUAGCCAUGCGAUCAGAGCGUGAUACGGCUGGUGAUCUAUUGAUCACUGUGGCCGUAGAUGAUCGUUCUCAGUUGGGCUCCAGCCCUCCUGGGGUGGUCGCUUGGUUGUCUGACGGGUU